rnacentral:rRNA from 4 species
CGGAGGGAAACCGAGUCUUAAUUGGGCGUUAAGUUGCAGGGUAUAGACCCGAAACCCGGUGAUCUAGCCAUGGGCAGGUUGAAGGUUGGGUAACACUAACUGGAGGACCGAACCGACUAAUGUUGAAAAAUUAGCGGAUGACCUGUGGCUGGGGGUGAAAGGCCAAUCAAACCGGGAGAUAGCUGGUUCUCCCCGAAAGCUAUUUAGGUAGCGCCUCGUGAAUUCAUCUCCGGGGGUAGAGCACUGUUUCGGCUAGGGGGCCAUCCCGGCUUACCAACCCGAUGCAAACUGCGAAUACCGGAGAAUGUUAUCACGGGAGACACACGGCGGGUGCUAACGUCCGUCGUGAAGAGGGAAACAACCCAGACCGCCAGCUAAGGUCCCAAAGUCAUGGUUAAGUGGGAAACGAUGUGGGAAGGCCCAGACAGCCAGGAUGUUGGCUUAGAAGCAGCCAUCAUUUAAAGAAAGCGUAAUAGCUCACUGGUCGAGUCGGCCUGCGCGGAAGAUGUAACGGGGCUAAACCAUGCACCGAAGCUGCGGCAGCGAACGUAUCACUUAAAGCGAUUCAGCGGGUUACGAUUGACGGAGCGAAGCGACGUCAAAGCGUAUACAAAGUCGAGUCGGUUUAAGGAUACGUU